GACGAACGCUAGCGGCGUGCUUAACACAUGCAAGUCGAACGAUGAAGCUGGAGCUUGCUCUGGUGGAUUAGUGGCGAACGGGUGAGUAACACGUGAGUAACCUGCCCUGGACUCUGGGAUAACCCCGAGAAAUCGGAGCUAAUACCGGAUAGGACCUCGGAUCGCAUGAUCUGGGGUGGAAAGUUUUUCGGCCUGGGAUGGACUCGCGGCCUAUCAGCUUGUUGGUGAGGUAAUGGCUCACCAAGGCGUCGACGGGUAGCCGGCCUGAGAGGGUGACCGGCCACACUGGGACUGAGACACGGCCCAGACUCCUACGGGAGGCAGCAGUGUGGAAUAUUGCACAAUGGGCGCAAGCCUGAUGCAGCAACGCCGCGUGCGGGAUGACGGCCUUCGGGUUGUAAACCGCUUUUAGUAAGGAAGAAGCCGCAAGGUGACGGUACUUGCAGAAAAAGGACCGGCUAACUACGUGCCAGCCGCCGCGGUAAUAC
rnacentral:rRNA from 1 species